CAGCACCUCAAGUGGUCAGGAUGAUUAUUGGGCCUAAAGCAUCCGUAGCCUGCUUUGUUAGUUUUCGGUUAAAUCCAUACGCUCAACGUAUGGGCUGCCGGGAAUACUGCAAAGCUAGGGAGUGGGAGAGGUAGACGGUACUCGGUAGGAAGGGGUAAAAUCCUUUGAUCUAUUGAUGACCACCUGUGGCGAAGGCGGUCUACCAGAACACGUCCGACGGUGAGGGAUGAAAGCUGGGGGAGCAAACCGGAUUAGAUACCCGUGUAGUCC
rnacentral:rRNA from 1 species